AUGAAACGUUGUGAAUUAAUUCGAA
rnacentral:tRNA from 1 species